rnacentral:lncRNA from 1 species
UUUUUUAACUUUUAUUACUGCCCCCAAGCCCAGCCCCAAGCCCAACCACGCGAAGCCCAAGUCUUCCACGCUGGUUGAACCAGCGUGGAACAGAAAAACAUUUCCAGCGUGGAAGAUAAAAAUUUGGCAAAAAAAAUAGGAAAGCGUUAGGGAUACCCCUGAUAUAGGUAUGGAAGACCUGCUAAAAAAAGUGAUGGGAAAGGAGGUGGCACCUACGUGGAGGCUAAAUUGUCCCAUGUGUAGGCUAAAUAUGGGAGACCCAUUAGAGAUGCUCUUACUUAGGAUUUAUCAUUACAUUUUGGACACUCGGAUUGGGAAAGAUAGUGAUUUAUUUGGGAAAAUUGGCGAUAACCCCCAGGUUUUGGUCACUCUUGGCAAGAACCUUCUCAUUUGUCCAUUUUUGGCGUUAACCCCCUAACCCCACUUCAACAAUUUUUUUGUCCAAUAUACCCCUAUCACAUAUUAUUUGACUAAACCCCCCAAAUUUAAAUAACAGAAGUUCACUAACAAUCGUUAACCUCCGUUAAAGGAACAUAUAUUUGUGAAAAUCCCUCGAUAAUUAAAAAUUUAAAAACAAAAGUAAAAUCAACUCUGACCCCUGGUCCAGUUAAAUUUUAAGGGUUUUUUUUUUUUUUUUUUUUUUUUUCAGUUUUUUACUUUUCGAGGGGGUUUAAGCAAAUAGGGGUUCUGUUAACGAAGUUAACAUGUGUUAGUAAACUUCAAUUAGGGGUUUUACUCAAAUAUGAGGGGUUAGGGGUAAACUGGAUAACCCAAGGUCUAAUUUGGGGGGGGGUUAACGCUAAAAAUGGACAAAUGAGGGGGUUCUUCUGACCAAAGCCUGGGGGGUUAUCACCAAUUUUCCUGAUUUAUUUUGAUCAGUUCAUUCCCUGGACAUGCAUCAACCUCACACUUCAACAGUUUCCAUUCUUGAGUCUCAUCUUCGAAGGCUAUUGUCACAUCCAUGAUGCCAGUAUAGCCAGCUUCCUUGCACCUAACCCUCAAGAAUGGACAUUUUGCAGCCUCAUGUCCUUUUUCUUUACAUAGUUGACACACCUGCACAGUUGCAUAUAUAGGUUAACUAGGUUAGUCUUUUCUGCCAUUAAAAAUUGUUGAAAAUUUGAAGUAUGAGAUUACCUGAGGUGGGACCCAUAUUAGAAAUUCAGCUCCACCACCAAUUGAUGUUGUUGGAACAGUAACUUGAGCAGGUACUAUGUUAUAUUUAUGGAAGUAGUAUGUUGAACAGUUUCAAUGAGAAACAAAAGAGAAGAAGAGGGGAAUG